rnacentral:rRNA from 1 species
UUUAUGGAGAGUUUGAUCCUGGCUCAGGACGAACGCUGGCGGCGUGCCUAAUACAUGCAAGUCGAGCGAACAGAAAAGGAGCUUGCUCCUUUGACGUUAGCGGCGGACGGGUGAGUAACACGUGGGCAACCUACCCUAUAGUUUGGGAUAACUCCGGGAAACCGGGGCUAAUACCGAAUAAUCUCUUUUGCUUCAUGGCAAGAGACUGAAAGACGGUUUCGGCUGUCGCUAUAGGAUGGGCCCGCGGCGCAUUAGCUAGUUGGUGAGGUAACGGCUCACCAAGGCGACGAUGCGUAGCCGACCUGAGAGGGUGAUCGGCCACACUGGGACUGAGACACGGCCCAGACU